UACAGAGGGUGCAAGCGUUGUUCGGAAUUAUUGGGCGUAAAGGGCGCGUAGGCGGUGCGGUAAGUCCGCAGUGAAAUCUCUGGGCUCAACUCAGAGUCUGCUGUGGAAACUGCCGUGCUUGAGUGUGGGAGAGGUGAGUGGAAUUCCCAGUGUAGCGGUGAAAUGCGUAGAUAUUGGGAGGAACACCAGUGGCGAAGGCGGCUCACUGGACCGGAACUGACGCUGAGGCGCGAAAGCGUGGGGAGCAAACGGG
rnacentral:rRNA from 1 species